CCAUUUACAACUUUAAUGAACUCUGAUUUCACUAUUGUAAGUGAAGCUAUAUUAUGCAUAAGUCAUAUACCAACGUACCAACUUAAAUCUCUAUCUUGGGAGCCCAUCAAAUUCUGAUAGCCAAGAGAAGUUUCUCCCCAUUCGGGCUUACAAACAACAAAAUAAUUCUAUCAUGAGUUAUUUGCUCACGUAUGAUUACAUGGACUACGAAUUAUUUAAAUUACCUACUGAUAUAAGUUGUCUUCUAAAUUAAAAACACUCAUCAUAAUGCAAAUUAAUAUUAGUUUAAUUUUACUUAAUCAUUUUUGUAAUACCCUAUUUUUGCCCGAGUCAAAAGAGCCCAAAUUACAAAUGGGCCUAUGUGGCCCAAAUCAAACAGAGGCCCAAAACCAAACCCCAAAUCCAGUGGCCCAAACAAUCAGAAACCCUAGGAUUUCUAGGAUGAACUUGCGCCGCAACCAGGAUCUUCGCACUAGCCGCCUCCCCGAAUCUUCAUCUACACACAAAAAAGGAAGCAAAACAGUAAUGGAAAGAAAUCAAAUGAUUGAGAAUCAAAUCAAUGUAAUGGAAAGAAAUCAAAAGAUUGAGAAUCAAAUCAAUCUAAACAAGAUUUUAUUUCUAUAUUUUUUAUUAUGGCUAUAUAAAGCCAUUGAGGAUACAUUAUUGGGGGGAUCCGAUUUUGAAAAAAAUCAAUAAAGAAAAAACGAUUAACAGUUAAAAAAAAGAAGGUGAUUUAUCAUUUUUCUUUUUCUCUGCGUUUCUCUACUAUGUUCUUUUAUUUUUUUAUUUUUUUAUUAUUUUUUUUCCUCCUUGGCAAAACAAAAAAGAGUAAAAGAGGGGAAUAUACUUACCUGCGUGGAGGAAGACAAAACCCUGGUUGCUGCCAAAUUGGAACCGGAGGGGAGAUUCGGGUUCACCGAAGUGGUUGUGGCGGCUAGGGAGUUUGGGUUAAAGAAAACCCUAGCAGAGAGUUUCCCCCUCUGCUUUCUA
rnacentral:lncRNA from 1 species